rnacentral:rRNA from 1 species
UACAGAGGUCUCAAGCGUUGUUCGGAUUCAUUGGGCGUAAAGGGUGCGUAGGCGGCCAGGUAGGUCCGUUGUGAAAACUCGAGGCUCAACCUCGAGACGUCGAUGGAAACCAUCUGGCUAGAGUCCGGAAGAGGAGAGUGGAAUUCCUGGUGUAGCGGUGAAAUGCGCAGAUAUCAGGAAGAACACCUAUGGCGAAGGCAGCUCUCUGGGACGGUACUGACGCUGAGACGCGAAAGCGUGGGGAGCGAACAGG